CCUACGGGUGGCAGCAGUGAGGAAUCUUGGUCAAUGGGCGCGAGCCUGAACCAGCCAAGUCGCGUGAGGGAAGACGGGUCUAUGGAUUGUAAACCUCUUUUAUCGGGGAGCAAAAGAAGCCACUCGUGGCGCUCCGAGAGUACCCGAAGAACAAGCAUCGGCAAACUGCGUGACAGCAGCCGCGGUAAUACGGAGGAUGCGAGCGUUAUCCGGAUUUAGUGGGUUUAAAGGGUGCGCAGGUGGAUGAUAAAGUCAGCGGUAAAAUUGAGGGGGUCAACCUCUUCGAGCCGUUGAAACUGGUUGUCGUGAGUGAGUGAGAAGUAUGCGGAAUGCGUGGUGUAGCGGUGAAAUGCAUAGAUAUCACGCAGAACUCCGGUGGCGAAGGCAGCAUACCGGCGAUCAACUGACGCUCAGGCACGAAAGUGUGGGUAUCGAACAGGAUUAGAUACCCCAGUAGUC
rnacentral:rRNA from 1 species